rnacentral:rRNA from 1 species
GGGUUGUGAGGUUAAGCGACUAAGCGUACACGGUGGAUGCCCUGGCAGUCAGAGGCGAUGAAGGGCGUGCUAAUCUGCGAUAAGCGCCGGUAAGGUGAUAUGAACCGUUAUAACCGGCGAUACCCGAAUGGGGAAACCCAGUGUGACUCGUCACACUAUCAUUAACUGAAUCCAUAGGUUAAUGAGGCGAACCGGGGGAACUGAAACAUCUAAGUACCCCGAGGAAAAGAAAUCAACCGAGAUUCCCCCAGUAGCGGCGAGCGAACGGGGAGGAGCCCAGAGCCUGAAUCAGCAUGUGUGUUAGUGGAAGCGUCUGGAAAGGCGCGCGAUACAGGGUGACAGCCCCGUACACAAAAGCGCAUGUGUUGUGAGCUCGAUGAGUAGGGCGGGACACGUGGUAUCCUGUCUGAAUAUGGGGGGACCAUCCUCCAAGGCUAAAUACUCCUGACUGACCGAUAGUGAACCAGUACCGUGAGGGAAAGGCGAAAAGAACCCCGGCGAGGGGAGUGAAAAAGAACCUGAAACCGUGUACGUACAAGCAGUGGGAGCACAGGUUUACCUGUGUGACUGCGUACCUUUUGUAUAAUGGGUCAGCGACUUAUAUUCUGUAGCAAGGUUAACCGUAUAGGGGAGCCGGAGGGAAACCGAGUCUUAAUUGGGCGUUAAGUUGCAGGGUAUAGACCCGAAACCCGGUGAUCUAGCCAUGGGCAGGUUGAAGGUUGGGUAACACUAACUGGAGGACCGAACCGACUAAUGUUGAAAAAUUAGCGGAUGACCUGUGGCUGGGGGUGAAAGGCCAAUCAAACCGGGAGAUAGCUGGUUCUCCCCGAAAGCUAUUUAGGUAGCGCCUCGUGAACUCAUCUCCGGGGGUAGAGCACUGUUUCGGCUAGGGGGCCAUCCCGGCUUACCAACCCGAUGCAAACUGCGAAUACCGGAGAAUGUUAUCACGGGAGACACACGGCGGGUGCUAACGUCCGUCGUGAAGAGGGAAACAACCCAGACCGCCAGCUAAGGUCCCAAAGUCAUGGUUAAGUGGGAAACGAUGUGGGAAGGCCCAGACAGCCAGGAUGUUGGCUUAGAAGCAGCCAUCAUUUAAAGAAAGCGUAAUAGCUCACUGGUCGAGUCGGCCUGCGCGGAAGAUGUAACGGGGCUAAACCAU